CAAUCAUGCCAAUCUAAAUGUUUUUCCAGAAAGCAGACUUGUGCUCCUGUCUGUGAAGGAAAUGAACAAAAAGUGUUGAAGUGUUAUCAAGAAAAUGUCAAGACACCCCUAAAUUGUUCUAAAGAAGUGGCAGCUUUUUCACAGUGUGUUGAUCAUGUUCGAAUGGGAGUUUUGACCAGCCAUGGGUAACACUGAGAGUCACGUCAUUUGUAGGUUAUAUCAGAACGAUGCAGUAGAGUAGAGAUUCCGUGAGAAUGGCCGACUUAUCGAAUUUGUUCUAGUAGUAACUUGAUUACGUGUAAUAUUGCUAUAUGUUCUGUACAGAAUAAAGUUUCUUUUAAAAAGUUUA